rnacentral:rRNA from 1 species
GACGGAAGGUGCAAGCGUUGCUCGGAAUCACUGGGCGUAAAGGGUGCGUAGGCGGCUUGGUAGGUCUGGUGUGAAAGCCCCGGGCUCAGCCCGGGAAGGGCACUAGAAACUGCCAAGCUAGAGUGCCGGAGGGGAGAGUGGAAUUCCUGGUGUAGCGGCGAAAUGCGUAGAGAUCAGGAGGAAUACCGGUGGCGAAAGCGACUCUCUGGACGGCAACUGACGCUGAGGCACGAAGGCCAGGGGAGCAAACGGG